GAUGAAGAACGUAGCGAAAUGCGAUAAGUAAUGUGAAUUGCAGAAUCCAGUGAAUCAUCGAAUCUUUGAACGCACAUUGCGUCCGCCAGCAUUCUGGCGGGCAUGCCUGUUCGAGCGUCAUUUCAACCCUCGACCUCCCCUUGGGGAGGUCGGCGUUGGGGACCGGCAGCACACCGCCGGCCCUGAAAUGGAGUGGCGGCCCGUCUGCGGCGACCUCUGCGUAGUAAUACAGCUCGCUCCGGAACCCCGACGCGGCCACGCCGUAAAACACCCAACUUCUGAACGUUGACCUCGAAUCAGGUAGGACUACCCGCUGAACUUAAGCAUAUCAAUAAGCGGAGGA
rnacentral:misc_RNA from 1 species